CGGCUGCACUCUGGAGAGCGGCGCCGCGCCAUCAUCGCAGGCGCCCACCGAAGGGGCUCACGGAACCGCCGGCGCGUUGCGCCGCUUCCCAAUCUCUCAGGUACCAAGGACAGAGGGGCCACC
rnacentral:ncRNA from 1 species